rnacentral:rRNA from 1 species
AUAAUGGGUCAGCGACUUAUAUUCUGUAGCAAGGUUAACCGAAUAGGGGAGCCGAAGGGAAACCGAGUCUUAACUGGGCGUUAAGUUGCAGGGUAUAGACCCGAAACCCGGUGAUCUAGCCAUGGGCAGGUUGAAGGUUGGGUAACACUAACUGGAGGACCGAACCGACUAAUGUUGAAAAAUUAGCGGAUGACUUGUGGCUGGGGGUGAAAGGCCAAUCAAACCGGGAGAUAGCUGGUUCUCCCCGAAAGCUAUUUAGGUAGCGCCUCGUGAAUUCAUCUCCGGGGGUAGAGCACUGUUUCGGCAAGGGGGUCAUCCCGACUUACCAACCCGAUGCAAACUGCGAAUACCGGAGAAUGUUAUCACGGGAGACACACGGCGGGUGCUAACGUCCGUCGUGAAGAGGGAAACAACCCAGACCGCCAGCUAAGGUCCCAAAGUCAUGGUUAAGUGGGAAACGAUGUGGGAAGGCCCAGACAGCCAGGAUGUUGGCUUAGAAGCAGCCAUCAUUUAAAGAAAGCGUAAUAGCUCACUGGUCGAGUCGGCCUGCGCGGAAGAUGUAACGGGGCUAAACCAUGCACCGAAGCUGCGGCAGCGACGCUGAUGCGUUGUUGGGUAGGGGAGCGUUCUGUAAGCCUGUGAAGGUGUGCUGUGAGGCAUGCUGGAGGUAUCAGAAGUGCGAAUGCUGACAUAAGUAACGAUAAAGCGGGUGAAAAGCCCGCUCGCCGGAAGACCAAGGGUUCCUGUCCAACGUUAAUCGGGGCAGGGUGAGUCGACCCCUAAGGCGAGGCCGAAAGGCGUAGUCGAUGGGAAACAGGUUAAUAUUCCUGUACUUGGUGUUACUGCGAAGGGGGGACGGAGAAGGCUAUGUUGGCCGGGCGACGGUUGUCCCGGUUUAAGCGUGUAGGCUGGUUUUCCAGGCAAAUCCGGAAAAUCAAGGCUGAGGCGUGAUGACGAGGCACUACGGUGCUGAAGCAACAAAUGCCCUGCUUCCAGGAAAAGCCUCUAAGCAUCAGGUAACAUCAAAUCGUACCCCAAACCGACACAGGUGGUCAGGUAGAGAAUACCAAGGCGCUUGAGAGAACUCGGGUGAAGGAACUAGGCAAAAUGGUGCCGUAACUUCGGGAGAAGGCACGCUGAUAUGUAGGUGAAGUCCCUCGCGGAUGGAGCUGAAAUCAGUCGAAGAUACCAGCUGGCUGCAACUGUUUAUUAAAAACACAGCACUGUGCAAACACGAAAGUGGACGUAUACGGUGUGACGCCUGCCCGGUG